AGGGGGAGGGGGGUGUGUGCCGUUUUUAGAUUCGGAAAAGAGGGAAAAAGGAGAGUAGGGACCUCCCACAAAAAUUUGGGAGACCCCUCCUGCAGUUGUGGAUAACCGCCGUCUUGGAUUUGGGACGGGAGGGCAGAUGGAUUUGGGACUGGGAGGAGGGAUCAGGCUCUGGUUUGCGGGGGGCAGAAAGGGGGCAAUGACAGUGGGGACCCCCUCAAAAAAAUUUGGGAGUCUCCCCCCAAAAAUUUGGGUUACCUCCAUUUUGGAUUUGAAGGGGGGCACUGUGGAUGAAGCGUUUUGGAAGGGGGGGAAAGAGAGUGGGCAUCCCUCAAAAAAAACCUGGGAAUCCCCCCCAGUAUUCGAUUUGGGGUGGGAGGUGAGUUUUGGGGAAGGCUCCUGGGGCUCUGUUGUUCUUUUGUGCCCCCUUCGAAAAAUUAAAGUGGGGGGGGAGCAAACUUGGGGGAACUGGGAGUAAUUUGGGAGCACCCUGGGUGAUUUGGGGGGUCCUGGGUGAUUUUGAGGGGCACUGGGUGACCCCCCUCUUUGUGACCCCCCCCAUCUGCAUCCCUCCAUCCCCCUCACCUCAGAUUUUAGGGGCUGAGUCCGGAGCAGCUGCAAGACCCCCCUGCCCGAGACCCUCAGAGAGCAGGAGGCCCUAUGGAGCAGGACGAGCCGGACGUGGUGGAGCUGCAGGACUCAGACGAGGGGGACGUGGUCCGGAGGGUCUUCAUUGCCGAUGAUGGCAUCGUGAGUGACGGUGAGGCCGAGGUGCUGCCACACGAGAUCAUCCGCACAGUGAUCCCGCACAGCCCCCUGCGUGCCC